GGAGAGGUCGCAUAGUUGGUCUAGUGCGUUCGCUUGGAAAGCGGAUAUCGUCGUAAGGCGAUCGCGGGUUCGAAUCCCGCCCUCUCCG
rnacentral:tRNA from 1 species